AACGCACAUUGCGCCCAUUAGUAUUCUAAUGGGCAUGCCUGUUCGAGCGUCAUUACAACCCUCAAGCGCUGUAGUGCUUGGUGUUGGGGCAUCUGCUGCCUGUAGCAGGCCCUGAAAGAUAGUGGCGAGGUCGCUGUGACCCUGAGCGUAGUAGUUUACAACUCGCUUCUGUGGUUCGCAGCGGGUUCUCAGCCGUGAAACCCCAAAAUUUUCACAAGGUUGACCUCGGAUCAGGUAGGAAUACCCGCUGAACUUAA
rnacentral:misc_RNA from 1 species